UACGUAGGUGGCAAGCGUUGUCCGGAUUUACUGGGCGUAAAGAGCGCGCAGGCGGUCGACCAAGUCGCGUGUGAAAGCCCCCGGCUCAACUGGGGAGGGUCACGCGAUACUGAUCGACUCGAAGGCAGGAGAGGGUAGUGGAAUUCCCGGUGUAGUGGUGAAAUGCGUAGAUAUCGGGAGGAACACCAGUGGCGAAGGCGACUACCUGGCCUGUUCUUGACGCUGAGGCGCGAAAGCUAGGGGAGCAAACGGG
rnacentral:rRNA from 1 species